AAAAAAAUUCACCUCAAGCUCAACAAAAACUUCAGGGAGUGACCCUACAUCUCCAAGGACCUGACCCACCAACCGAUCAGCACGCGUCAAGGUAGGGUCCAUGGUCGUGCCAACGCCAAUGAGACCUCCUGGCACUGCAAAUUGUAGCUCAUUUUGCUCAGCAUAAAGUGAAACUAUUCUAGUAUAUAUUGGUGUGCACUUGAUAUUCCCUGUCUCAUCUUUAACAACAAUCCCAGGACGAACUUCAAUGAAUUGAUUGACCUUCAAAACACCCCUAAGGAUGCUUCCACCAGCCACACCACCUUUUAUCUCAUCAACCUCAAACCCAGGCUUAUUGACAUCAAAAGAGCGAAUUACAAUCAUAUUAGGUGGUGAGAUAAAGUUCCUCUCUGGAAUGGGGAUCUUUUUCACAAUAUAUUCGCACACAACAUCAAUAUUAUACUUCAGCUGCGCAGAAAUUGGCACCACUGGAGCACCAUCUGCAACAGUUCCCUGGAUAAAUUUCUGAAUGGCCUCAUGUUGGUUGAUGGCUACAUUUUCUUGAAUCAGAUCAACUUUAUUUUGAAGGAUUAUGAUAUGCUGGAGACGCAUAAUUUCAACAGCAGCAAGAUGCUCAGAUGUUUGUGGUUGAGGGCAGCUUUCAUUUGCAGCUAUGAGAAGCAAUGCUCCAUCCAUAAUCGCUGCUCCAUUAAGCAUUGUAGCCAUGAGAAUAUCAUGACCCGGGCAAUCAACAAAAGACACAUGCCUCAGCAAUUUCAUUCUAGAGUUUUCAAACCCAGGUACAUCACACAUAGGACUAUCUUCCUUUCCACUUCCAUAUGCCUUGUAGCACAUAGGCCGGGGGCACUUUUCAUCUUCACACUUGUAUAUCUUUGCAUUUGCAUAUCCAAGCUUAAUUGUAAUGUUACGCUCCAACUCAUUUUUAAAACGAACAGUCUGAACACCAGAUAUUGCUUUCACAACUGUUGACUUACCAUGUGCCACAUGACCUAUGGUGCCUAUAUUUAUAGUUGCCUGGCGAGAUAUGACUUCAGGAGAAAGUGGAUGUAACAAAGUUACAUCCAAUUUACUCAAGUCUUGCUCCAUCAAACCUUUCCGCGACAUUUUUUUACUAUCCUAAGUUCAACCUGAAAGAAAACGGCUGCACCGAUAGAGAUGCGAGCGACCGAGAGAGUAACAGCGAGACCAGCAGAGACAGCAAGUGGGCGCAGCACUCAGCAGCUCGAGAGAGACAAAUUUGAGGGAGAGGGCCGAAGAAAGGGAAGAAAGUGUUUUUAGGGUUUGUUGAUCUUAC
rnacentral:misc_RNA from 1 species